rnacentral:misc_RNA from 1 species
AAGUCGUAACAAGGUUUCCGUAGGUGAACCUGCGGAAGGAUCAUUAUCGAAAUAAACCUGAUGGGGUUGUUGCUGGUUCUCUAGGGAGCAUGUGCACACCUUGUCAUCUUUAUAUCUCCACCUGUGCACCUUUUGUAGACCUUCCCAGGUCUAUGUUGUCUCAUUUGACCCCACUCCUCAAUGUAUGUUGAUAGAAUGCAUGUGGCUAUAAAAUCUAUACAACUUUCAGCAACGGAUCUCUUGGCUCUC